rnacentral:lncRNA from 1 species
AAUUUGCAAGUAUACAAUUAGCCGUCAAGUAGUAUAAAAAUCGUUCUUUCCACAGGGAUUGUUGUAAUUCAAACACAAGUUGAAUACAUACUUAAACACAUAAAUUUAAAUGUAAAAAGGGGGGGAAAUUUGUUUGGUUCAAGUUUGAUCAUAAACUGACAAAAUAACUUAGGCUUCAAAUCAAAUGAAGAAAAGCGAUUGAUCCUUUUGGUUCAUCUAAUUACUACUUCUCUUGGUAAUUUCAUGUAUG